GUCUCGGUGGUGCAAUGGGUAGCACGAGUCGCCGGUAUGGUUGAAACGCGGGUUCAACCCCCGUCUGAGGCC